ACGGCGUGCCUUUUGCAUAAUGAGCCUACGAGUUACUUUUACUGGCAAGGUUAAGCACUUCAGGUGCGGAUCCGUAGCGAAAGCGAGUCUGAACAGGGCGCCAUAGUCAGUAGUAGUAGACGCGAAACCGUGUGAUCUACCCAUGGGCAGGUUGAAGCUGUGGUAACACACAGUGGAGGACCGAACCCGUUGACGUUGAAAAGUCUUGGGAUGACCUGUGGGUAGGGGUGAAAGGCCAAUCAAACUCGGAAAUAGCUCGUACUCCCCGAAAUGCAUUUAGGUGCAGCGUGUACAUAGUUUUAUAGAGGUAGAGCUACUGAUUGGAUGCGGGGGCUUCACCGCCUACCAAUUCCUGACAAACUCCGAAUGCUAUGAAAUGAUUGUGCGCAGUGAGGGCAUGGGUGCUAAGGUCCAUGUCCGAGAGGGAAAGAACCCAGAUCACCAGCUAAGGUCCCAAAGUAUAUGCUAAGUUGAUAUAACGCGGUGGAACUGCACUGACAGCCAGGAUGUUGGCUUGGAAGCAGCCAUUCAUUUAAAGAGUGCGUAACAGCUCACUGGUCGAGCGGUUCCGCAUGGAUAAUAAUCGGGCAUAAGCAUAUCACCGAAGCUGUGACUUCUGUACUCGGUACAGAGGGGUAGGGGAGCAUUGUAGUGCCGCUGAAGGCGAUCUGUAAGGGUUGCUGGAGGAGCUACAAACGAAAAUGUAGGCAUAAGUAACGAUAAUGCGGGCGAGAAACCCGCACGCCGAAAGACCAAGGUUUCCCCAGCUAUGCUAAUCAGCUGGGGGUCAGUCGGGACCUAACACGAACCCGAAAGGGGCAGUGGAUGGACAACAGAUUAAUAUUUCUGUACCUGCUCACAUUAAAAGUGACGGGGAUGUGGCGUUGGUGCGUACUGACGGAAUAGUACGUUGAAGGGAGCGGUGACGCCCCGAUAGUACACUGAGGCUCCGGCCAAGGUGAUAAUCCAGCUUAACAUCCUCCGAGAAAACCAAGUGAAGCAGCCCGUACCGCAAACCGACACAGGUGGUUGGGAUGAGUAUUCUAAGGCGCUCGAGAGAUUCAUGGCUAAGGAACUAGGCAAAAUAGACCCGUAACUUCGGGAGAAGGGUCGCCACGCUUCUAGCGUGGCCGCAGUGAAGAGGUCCAGGCGACUGUUUAUCAAAAACACAGGGCUCUGCAAAAUCGAGAGAUGAAGUAUAGGGCCUGACACCUGCCCGGUGCUGGAAGGUUAAGAGGAGAUGUCAUUCGCAAGGAGAAGCAUUGAAUUGAAGCCCCAGUAAACGGCGGCCGUAACUAUAACGGUCCUAAGGUAGCGAAAU
rnacentral:rRNA from 1 species